AUCAUUCAGUUUGAUACGUGAGAAUACAUUGCAACGAUACAUAGGAAAUUAGCAUGCCACUGCGCAAGGAUGACAAAAACUAAAUAUAGGAGAUUAAAACUAUA